UCUGUUUGUCUUAUUCAGAGAGUCCUUCUGGUGCCUUUUCGCAAACUCCAGGCGGGCUACCAUGUGCCUUUUUCUAAGGAGUGGCUUCCGUCUGGCCACUCUAUCAUACAGGCCUGAUUGGUGGAUUGCUGCAGAGAAG